rnacentral:rRNA from 1 species
AUGGCAUCCUCCUCGCCGCCGGACGUCGCGGAGGACGUGCCCCCGUUCCUGCACCUCCUCAGCGACGGCACGGUGAUCCGCUUCACUGACUGCUACCCGCUCCCCAUCCCGUCACCACCGCCCGGCCAGCCCGUCGUCGACUGGAUGGACGUCCUGUACGACGCCAGCUACGGCCUCAAGCUCCGCAUCUACAGGACGACGGUAGCCUCCUCCUCCGGGAACAAGCUCCUGGUGAUCGUCUACUUCCACGGUGGUGGGUACAGCAUUGGCAGCUUCGACAUGCCUAACUUCCACGCGUGGUGCGUCCGCCUCGCCGGCGAGCUCCCGGCUGUGGUGCUCUCUGCACACUACCGCCUCGCCCCCGAGCACCGUUUCCUCGAGGGCCUCGACGCUGCAGCGAACGUCGUGUCCUGGGUGCGCGCCCAGGCGGCAGCGGCGGCAGCGGCAGAGGACAGUGCCGACCCCUGGCUCUCGGAGACGGCGAACUUCGGCCGGGUGUUCGUCGCCGGGGACUCAGCCGGCGGAGGCGUCGUUCACCACACGGCCGUCCGCCUCGUGUCAGGCCGGCUUGGCCCCCUCGACCCCGUUUGCAUCGCCGGGUGCGCGAUGCUCUGCCCGCUGUUCGGAGGGGAGGAGAGGACGGCGUCGGAGGCAGAGUUCCCGCCGGGCCCGUUCCUGUCGCUGCCGGUGGUCGACCAGGCGUGGCGCCUGGUGCUGCCGCCUGGGUCCACGAGGGACCACCCGCUGGCCAACCUGUUCGGCGCGGACAGCCCGGCGCUCGACGGUGUCGCGCUGCCGCCGAUGCUCUUGGUGGCCGCCGCGCACGACCUGCUGCGCGACCGCGCCGCGGACUAUGCUGCAAGGCUCAAGGCCAUGGGGAAGCCGGUGGAACUCGUGGAGUUCGAGGGACAGCACCACGGGUUCUUCGCCGUCGAGCCGUACGGUGACGCCGGCAGCGAGGUGGUCCGGGUCGUCAAACGGUUUGUCUACGGCAACGGCGGCGCCUCCAACUAA